AAAAAAAAGAGAAAACAUGAGAGAAAGAUUGGUGAGGAUCCAAAUCUAGAGAUUUAAAAUAGCUAUUUAAAAUACCUUCUUAGUUUACGGAUUUUUUGAAAUUUUAUUAGAGUUUAAAAUAGUACUCCUUUUGCCAAUAUGUUUUGUGACUCAAUCGCAUAGGGCUUUUGUGGACCCAAUAAUGAAGUAUGAUGAGUGGUUUCAAACAGUGACAAAGACUUUUAGAGUUAUUGCUGGGACUGGGACACAACUUGUGUUUAAAAUUGUACUACUUAUGUUUUUUGCAUGUGCUGCUGUC
rnacentral:lncRNA from 1 species